rnacentral:rRNA from 1 species
UACAGAGGUCUCAAGCGUUGUUCGGAUUCAUUGGGUGUAAAGGGUGCGUAGGUGGCGUGGUAAGUCGGGUGUGAAAUUUCGGAGCUUAACUCCGAAACUGCAUUCGAUACUGCUGUGCUUGAGGACUGGAGAGGAGACUGGAAUUUACGGUGUAGCAGUGAAAUGCGUAGAGAUCGUAAGGAAGACCAGUGGCGAAGGCGGGUCUCUGGACAGUUCCUGACACUGAGGCACGAAGGCCAGGGGAGCAAACGGG